CAGUCGCCACGGUAAUACGGAGGGAGCUAGCGUUGUUCGGAAUUACUGGGCGUAAAGCGCACGUAGGCGGUUAUUCAAGUCAGAGGUGAAAGCCCGGGGCUCAACCCCGGAACUGCCUUUGAAACUAGAUGACUGGAAUCUUGGAGAGGUCAGUGGAAUUCCGAGUGUAGAGGUGAAAUUCGUAGAUAUUCGGAAGAACACCAGUGGCGAAGGCGACUGACUGGACAAGUAUUGACGCUGAGGUGCGAAAGCGUGGGGAGCAAACAGGAUUAGAUACCCGAGUAGUCCCUGUCUCUUAUAA
rnacentral:rRNA from 1 species